GACAGAGGGGGCAAGCGUUGCUCGGAAUUACUGGGCGUAAAGGGCGCGUAGGCGGGAUGGCAAGUCGGUCGUGAAAUACCUCGGCUCAACUGAGGAGCGUCGAUCGAAACUGCCGUUCUUGAGGGUUGCAGAGGAGACUGGAAUUCCCGGUGUAGCGGUGAAAUGUGUAGAGAUCGGGAGGAACACCGGUGGCGAAGGCGGGUCUCUGGGCAAUUCCUGACGCUGAGGCGCGAAAGCGUGGGGAGCAAACAGG
rnacentral:rRNA from 1 species